UCAAGUUAUUUCAAUUUUUUUUAUUAUGACAAUUUACAUGUCAUAUUUAUAUGAAAGAAAUGACAGUAGAUAUUAUAACAAAACCAUUAUGAAAGAAAAGUUACACAAUUAGGCCUACAAGCUAUAAAAUGGCUUCAGGCCCAGCUUAUACACAAAGAGUUCUGACUAGACUGUAGUGAGAGACAACGCUGAACAAUUCAUUAACAAAAAUAUUGGCACCAGCCUUAACAUUUUUUCUUACUUCAUUUACAAGGAAUACAGUAUUUAAACAGUUGUGUACUGCAAAUCUAAAAACAUUAGCUGUUAAUAAACUGCAGUUAACCCUUUGAGCACUAUGCCACCAUGAUUUCCAUUUAAAAAAGUUUUAACGCAGCAUGUUUUACAUGCACGUGAUAUUACCAGUGGAAGGGAAAAGACAGUGAAAGCACCACCCAAUUUAUGUGCAACAAGAAUAAUACUUCCAGUUUUUUCAAGGUAUUUCCCCCCUUCCCACACACACAGUGUGUGUCCCCUGGGCCCUUUCCCUUUGAUAUUGUAGCAAGUCACGACUGAAGAAAGACUGAAAAAAACAAGGUUCAGGACUCAAAAAAAAAGCAAGUAUUAAAUGCUACAUAAAGAGCUCUGCUUGUGGAACUUUACUGUGUUAAUUCUUUAGAUAAAGAAAACAAAAGAUGAGGCCAGCUGUGGAGACCAUUUUAAGGAACUCAAGGUGUCUUUGCAAAUGCACAAGCAGCACACGGGAGUAAGACAAAACUGUAUUUCAUGUACGGAUAUCUUAAAUUUUAAGAGACCUGUCUGGCAGAUUUGAUCCAGUUGUCAAAAGAAUACUGGAGGGUAAGCAUCCACAUGGGACACUGAAAAUCCCCAAUGUUUGUCUUAUGGACAGGAUCUGUUCCAGGAUGGACAGGAUGUGAGAACUGCCCUGCUCCCAGGAAUGGUAACAUCAUGCAUUUGGAUCAGUCCCAUCCAUCCCCUGGCUGAAGCAGGAGCACUGUGAAACACGGGCAGGAACCAACAACUGCAUUGGCAAUGCUUGAAUGGCAGUUAGGGGGAGGAGCAUCCUUUGAGUGAAUAUAGGACAGGAAUAAGGUACUGUACAAGAUUUUAGAGUCCAUAUAACGAGUACAAAAUGGAAAACUAAACAGGCUUACAACUUUAUGAUUUGACUUCCCUUCCUACCACUACCUUGAGUGGCAGAUUAGUAUCUAUUAAGGACUUUUAUCUAACUAACAAACAGUGCACUGGUUACUAGGUCUAGCAUAUGUUUUUGCAGAAAGACUUUAUCCCUGUAGAACCGCUUCAGUUCUGCCAGAUUGAGCCAAGUUCAGUUGUGUGGGACACAGUAAGAGGAACAAACAAGAAAGCAAACUGUGUGGAUUCUGACUGUCAUCCCUGGAGAGAAACAUUGUCAUAAUAUUCUAUGGACUGAUCCUAAUUUUUUCUACAUCCACAUUGCACUGAUGGAGGAACAUUAUUUAUUCCCUCAAGGAAGGAGACAUCAAGUACAUUUUCCAGUUACUUUGAAAAUCAGGAUGAGAAAAGGAGGGUAUUAGGAUGAUUCUCCUAAAUUGAGACCUUCCUUUGGAAAUCCAACCUGUAAAGAGCAAGUCACAAGUAGCUUCUAGGCCUGUUCAAGACCUCUCUUGCAAAUGGCAUGAGUUUGCAUUCACACUAUUCCAUUCCACUUCCCUCCAUCCAUUCCCCAUCUCCCUGUAAUUGGAACAAGCAUCCAAACAGCAGGAGCCAGUGACUCUGUCUGCACCUGGGGAACCAGUGAGACCGACUAUACACAAAGUGCUGCAAAGUGCACAAAGUAAACCAGCCGAACAAACGGAGCCAUGCCGAUGCUCAGCUCUCCUCAGCAACCUUUGGGGCUGUAUGGAGCAACAGCAGAUCUACUGGCAGGCACGUGUGCCCCUCUAACAGCAGUGCUGUCCCCUCUCCUGCUCCUGAGCUCAUGUGUGUGGGCCCAGCACUUACAAGAUGAUAGUCAAAAAUCCAAGUUGUAAGACUUGCUUUUAAUUGCAGUUGAAUCUGGAUGCUUUACACCACAGAUUCAACUCUAAAAACAUAUCUACUGUAGAGCAUUUUAUUAUUUCCCUCAGAAACUCUCUGCAAUAUACAUCUUCUGCAAUAUACAAAGUAAAUUAAAUUACUCUGAAGUGUUGGGACAAUCAUUCCCAUGUUUUUGUUGUUUGGAACUACCUCAGUUAGUUACACCUAAUCUAAAAGAAGAGCUUGGUAAGUGAUGUGAUUUUCCAAAGUGACUAGCAAUCCUCAAUACCCCAACUUCUGGGUCUCCAGAAAUAAUUUCAAACUGAUAAAUAUUUCUGAAGCCAGGGUUCUCUGUUAGGUCUCUGACUGGGUAAAGAAUCAAAAAUUAGUCAUACAAUUUUUCUUCUAUCAAGCUAUACCAGCAAAAAAAACUCCAACCAAGCCAAAACAACAACAAAACCCCUAAAAUGGAUAAUUUCUGCUGGAUUUAUUUUACUUUCUGCCUUCCAAGAUUUUAAGUGAGAUACAGUCCCUAUGCUAACUGUUAGGGAAGAGGAGGCAGAAGACACUAUCUGCAAAUGUGAUCUUGAUCCUCUAAAUCCUUACUUCAGACAAUAUCCUAAAUGCUUCUAUGGAAGUUUUGAACACCUAAGGACUUGCAAAAUUUUGCUGCUUUAUUUCUAGAGAUUCCCAUACCAUAUUCAAUGCAAAUUUUCCCCCAAGUUACUAUUUCAUUUGAAGAUACUUGAUCUUCUACAUAUAUUUAUAUAUAUUUAAGGAUUUUAUCUACCCACCAAAUCAGAAGCAUAUAUCAAAUGUAAAUACAUACCUAGGGUAUACACUGCACAUCAGAACCACAUUACAAGUCUGUGAAUAGUAGUCACUGCACAUGUAUAAAACCCAACUUUCAAGGCCUAUAUAAAGCUUUUUUGAAUUAGAUGAUACAAAUCUUUGUCAUACCAGUUCUGGGGGUGAGCAUUACUGUCAUGAUUUAUUAAAAUCACUAGGCAUAAAAUGGACCCCAUGACAAUGAAGGAUUAAAAUUAUUACACAGUUGCAGUUUCUGGAUACCAGUGUAGUUUAAAUAAUAGAUGUGAAGAGAAAUCAGAACAAGUGUGCCACUACCAUACAAUUUUUAUUUUGUGAACAUGUAUCUUUUGCCCCUUGAACUUCUCAAUGUAAGGUCUCUCACCGAGAGUUCAGACCCAGCAAUUAGGAAACAGAAGUGAACAGAAAAAAAGUCCAACUAAGUCAUUAGCUUCCAUAAUAUGGAGAGUAACCAAGACACUUAAUACAACAAAAUCUUGGAGGUGAAAUUUCAAAAAUGAGCUUUUAAGAAAAAGGCAUCUCUCAUUUCUCCGAAGUGCUGCUAAGCCAGAACAAUCUGUUCAUUAAAAAAAACAGUAAUGAAGAUGCAGUGAUUUUAAAAUGUAAUUCAGCAUGUAUGAAAUGAAAGUAUCAGAGAGUUGAUUGUUCAGCACUGACCUUGCUAACUAAGGGUUGUUAGUAUGAUGUCCAUCUUAUAUCAAGAAUAUGCUCAGGUUUAUCAGACUCAACAACCAGAAGACAGCAACUGUGGUGAAAUCAACCCAAUUGUUAAUUCUAUCCCCUUUCUUCUUGGAUUAACACACCCCAUUCAUUACUGCAGUGGCCCUGCUUGUGUGCUUUUUGUCACCGAGUCACAGAAACCCCACACAGGGAAGCAAACAGCCAGCAUGUAUCUUGGUGGCACAAAAAAAUCCACUCCUCCACUUGAUCUACAUGUUCUUCUUCCCAGCAGUGCUACUUAGACUACACAAAGAAAUCAGCUUUCCCCCCAGUCAGUUAUAUAGAAAAGAGCUUGCUGGUAAAAAAAGACUGUUAGUGACAAUCUGUGUGGAAUAAAUAAGAGUUUGCUGAAUAAAUUGUCGGCAUGUGCAGCCAGUAGCUGCUUGAUCUCAUUAAAAACAAUCCCUGGCCUGUUUCCCAUUUCCUAUAUGUUUUGAGCUUUAAGCCCAAACCUACACCUGAAGAUCACUAUUCAAAGACAACUAACUUCUGAUCUCACACUGAGCACAGAAGGGCACGAGACCGUAAGGACAACAGGAAGACAUUUUCACUCUAGAAUCACAUAUACAUACUGUAACAGCAUGAACCCUGUGUGAUAGCUGGCCUCUUGUCAGAAAAUGCCAUCUUCCCAAAUAGAUAAUACAUUUUUCACCACGCAGGAAGCCUUAAAAAUGACAAAAUUACCAAGUUUUAAAAUGCCAAUACUUUCCAGAGCAUUUUUUGCAGUUUUUCCUUGCACAUCAUUCCCACUGAUCUGAGGAGGAACUCUAGAUCCUAUGGGAUGAAGCCAUCUCAGGUACCAAGGGUGACUUAGAAGACAGAAAAGUUGCUUUUAAGAAGAGAUCUAUAGAAAGUACAAUUUAGUAACAACGGGCCAUUUUUAAAAUUGAACACUUCUGAUGCAAGCUUCAAUGCUCCUAUUUUGCAUCUUGGUCUUCCCUGCUUUUACGUUGCUUUAACUCAGUACUCAAGUACUCAAUUUUUCUCAUUAUUGGUAUAUCCAGAGGUGUAACUCUUUUGUAUUUUUUUAUACAUACAAGUACCUCUCCACUAAGUAUUUAGCAUUUGGAGUUGACUCUACAAGCAAGAAUGUUUGAUCAGAUACUAAAAAGCUCCAUCAGGCAGAAAAAGAAAAUAUGGCACUGCCAAAACAAAUAAGGAACUAUGGAUUCCACAGAGUUGAUGGAUGUGAAUCAGUUUGCACUGCAAGUAUUAAAAAUGCUCAGCAACUACUAUCAUGGACAAGUGGAAGCCUUAUGUUCUUACUUGUUCUAACAUACAAGUAUAUUAGAAUUUAGAAGCAAUACAUUUAUGCAUCACCUAGGCAAAGAAAAGCACUAGAGUAGCUUAAAAUGCUACAUAUGCUUUUAAGAACUCAUUCUAUGCUUCUGUGGCUCUUCACUACCCCAUUUUUAUCAUUUAACUGUUGUUAACAUCAGUAAGGUAGGAAAACAUUUAAUCUGUAAUGAAAUCAAACUGUCAUGUAGAGAGCAAUUUCUCUUUGUUUUUAAUCACAAGCCUGCUUAGCACAGCAGAUAAUGAGCAAGUUCCAUCUUUUUGCAUCUUUCUGAUCCUACUUUUAUAGCAUGAUAUAUGCACUGCUGGAACUCAAACAAGUAAGAGUCAUGGAGUGGUUCUGACAGACUUUGGGGAGAAAGAGGUGGGGAAACAAAACCAAGAUUUUAAAGGCCAGAAGGUAGGUAAAAUUUGGAUCUUGGUUUUUUAGAGAGGUAUUUAGUAAAGGCCUAAUGCUGGUUUCAGUACAAGAAAACAGAAGUGCUUAAUGACUAACUAGUAAAUACAAUAUAAUGGAAAGGAAUCAGGUGGGGCAGGAAAGGAGAACUCACUCCUCAGUGGCAGCAGCAGCUUUGGUGCAUCCAUUGCCGGCAAUGGACAUAAGCACCAGUCAAAAAUCCAAAUCUCAGAGCAAAAGGAUUAAUAGAUGCGACCUUUUUGGAUUUCAAUGUUUGGCAGAUCUGUUUGAGCUGUCUGUGUCCUAUAACAUGUACAAAUGCUACAGCCUGCAUCUUAAUCAGAAUAGAGAGAAAACUGAAUGCUCUUGAUGUGCCCCAUGUUGAUUCAGUGGGGUUUUUAUUCUUCCAUUGUCUUUUUUUGCCCCUUGAAUAAAAGCACAUAUCACUUCAUGCCUGUUGAAAAGUUGAUGAGAUGUCUUGGAGCCAGGCGUUUUCUCUCAGAAACUCUGC
rnacentral:lncRNA from 1 species